UACGGAGGGAGCUAGCGUUGUUCGGAAUUACUGGGCGUAAAGCGCACGUAGGCGGGUCGUUAAGUCAGGGGUGAAAUCCCAGAGCUCAACUCUGGAACUGCCUUUGAUACUGGCGACCUAGAGUUCGGAAGAGGUUAGUGGAAUUCCCAGUGUAGAGGUGAAAUUCGUAGAUAUUGGGAAGAACACCAGUGGCGAAGGCGGCUAACUGGUCCGAUACUGACGCUGAGGUGCGAAAGCGUGGGGAGCAAACAGG
rnacentral:rRNA from 1 species